GAUCAUGCUCAGGACGAACGCUGGCGGCGUGCCUAACACAUGCAAGUCGAGCGGAGACAGUGAGUAGCUUGCUAUGAGCUGUUUUAGCGGCGGACGGGUGAGUAACGCGUGAGCAACCUUUCCCAGACAGGGGAAUAACACACCGAAAGGUGUACUAAUACCGCAUAAGACCACGGAAUCACAUGGUUCUGAGGUAAAAGAUUUAUCGGUUUGGGGUGGGCUCGCGUCCGAUUAGGUAGUUGGUGAGG
rnacentral:rRNA from 1 species